AAGAAUAAUAUUUCAUUUAGCAACUAUAUUAAUCAUCAACAAAUGAUUUUUCUUCAUAUGCAUGAUACACAGUAUAUGAUCGCAGACGCUCAUGAUCUGCUCAAGGAAAAUAUAUAUAUAUAUAUAUAUAUAUAUAUAUAUAUUCUGCUGUUAACAAGGAAAAAUUUUGCGUCAACAAUUACCUAAAGUUCCUAAGUAUUAACACAGAAAUUUUUUCUUUUUACUAUCCAGCUAUUUCACAGGCGAAAUAAUAAAUCACCAGCUGCACACAAAAACACCUAAUUUAAUGACACCGGCUUGCAAGUCAAAACUGAGAAAGCAAGAAACUUCUCAAAAAAUAUAUUUGUAGCAACACAGAACCCUGAGCAUCCGCAGAUGAACGAUCGUUGAUAUUCACAGCUCAGAGUGGCCAAAACUGAAGAUGGCUCUUUAAAAAUAUGAUCAUCUAAUGGUAUUCUGGCCCUUCAGCUUUAGCAGGCCAAUAUCAGAAACCACCAUGUUCACUACUCAUGGUUUUUUGGGCUUGUCCUCUGCAAAGCCAUGAUAUAAAUAUUGGAUUAAAAUGAAAGUGGAUAGAAAAUAUGAUGUAUCCAGCAAAGCAACAGAUAAUAGACAACAUCAUGCACUCUCUACACCAAAUAAAAUCAAGCAGGUCGCAACUAACUACCAUAGAGGUGCAUAUAAGGAAAAACGGAAAGAAACUAUAGAUAAUAUUCAAGAAUUAGAAGCUUCAAAUCCACUAACCAUACGUGACGAAUCUCUUUUAUUUCCUAAUCAUAACAAACAAUGGUAUAUAUUCACAUUUGAAAUUUCUCUAUCUAACAUGCAGGAGAAGUUGAGAAAACCAAGUGCUGCCAUUAAGUGGACAUGAACAAGCAGAGGCGGAUUUAGUAUUCAAAGGUUUUUAGAAUUGAAUCCAUUGUAUUUUUAAAAUUAUGCGUUCAGGCAUACUAGUUGUUGCAAUUUUACUACUAUAUAUUUUGCACAUAAAUUUAUGUUCUGCAUAAAAAAUACUGGGUUCAGAUGAAUCCGAUGGCACAAUACUCCAUCUGCCCCUAUGAAUAAGGCUAAAAUAUUUGAUCUUUAUAUGCUCUUCUGGGAUGUUAUUUCUCCCCUGAGAUUUCCUAAUCAGCUCAUUGCCUGAAAUGCACUUGCAUACUUUCAUGUAAAUUUGAACAGGAAUAUUUCUAGAUGUCUUCUUCUAGUUCCAGAGGCUCAAGUGUCAAGAAAAACGCCUUGCUUCCCUUUAACUCUUCCCUCAUUAGGGUAGGCUGUCUACAUCACACCCCUUGGGGUGCAAUCCUUCCCCCUACGUGAAGGAGAUGCCUUGUGCACCGGGCUGCCCUUUUUCUUUUAGAAGAAAAUUAUUGAAAAGUGUGAAUUAGCACCAUUCCAAGUGUGCUUAACUAAAAGUCGGUAAUGAAUUCAUAAUUCCAACGCAAGUAUUCCCCAAAACAUUCCCGCUUACUAAAAGAAUGUUUUACCUUCAGCUGGUUCUCUUAGAUUACAUCCUCAUGUGAAUUAAAGCAGCGUUUAUUUUGCUUAGUUGACACAUUCAGGAAGUGUGGCACAUCCUAGAAAUUCCAAUUGGCUCUUUAUGACUGCAGUAUUUGGGAUCAUAUGUGAUGCCUCCUAAGCUACAUUCCAAAAAAUAUGAGAGCACAACUAACCAGAAAAAGUUCUAACAUCAUGGUCAUUUAACCUAAACAAGUGAACAGACUAACAAGCAGAGUUGGAACUUUCAGGUGGAGACAUGGAGUAAAUCUCCAUCACACUAAAACUAUAGAUGCACAAGUGUUCAGAAGGCGCUUUUAGAAACUGGGAUUGCUGGUAUCAUAAAUUUAAAGAAAGAUUGACUUCCUGAAUUUGGUCUUGCGUAAUCUCGCUGUUUCUUUCACUAAGGAGUUUAAAUCAACAAAUAGUUUAGUCUUUGAUUGUUCUUAUGGUGUCGGCACAAAGAGAAAUCCCGACUCACAAGGAUCAAAGGUCACAAUUAUCUACUGCUGCCAUGGAAAAAGAGAGAAGCAGAAGAAUAUUCUGCCAUAUGAAGCGGCUACCAAUCAGGAUACUAGAAUUGAAAUAGCUGAGAGAAUCAGAUUCAAGCUGGUUAGUAUCCUUAGAAAUUUCCGAACUUGGGAAUUGAACAUUGCUUUAUCCCAAGGCAAUUCUGCUUAACACGUGCCUUCUAUUUUUCUGAAUCCACAGAAUUGCUUAUCUCAACUAAAACAGAGAGAUUAUAUAUGAUAAUGUAGUUAUCAAUAAAAUACUACGUUUAAUGAGACCCAAAAUGGUUAACUAGUUAUCUAACAUAAUCACAGAAGAAAUGCUAAAGUAACUGACCAUAAGCAAAACAGAUUAGCGUAACAGUGAAAUAACAGAUGUUAUUGGUUAGAAGGAACACCAAAAGAGUAAAUAAAACGAAGAGCAGGAGCUGUCACAUGGCAAUUUCACAAAGAAAAACACAACUUACGUAUGGACUCUGGAUCUAUAUGCACAAAGAAGCUU
rnacentral:lncRNA from 1 species